rnacentral:tRNA from 1 species
UAGUAAAAUCCGGGAUAGUAUAGCCUUCUAAGCUAACCCUGAAAAGUUCGACUCUUUUCUUUACAAU